CUACGGGUCGCUCCAGUGGGGAAUAUUGGACAAUGGGGGAAACCCUGAUCCAGCAAUGCCGCGUGUGUGAAGAAGGCCUGCGGGUUGUAAAGCACUUUCGGUUGGGAGGACUGCUUCUAGCACUAAUAUUGUUGGAAGUUGACGUUACCUUCAGAAGAAGCACCGGCUAACUCCGUGCCAGCAGCCGCGGUAAUACGGAGGGUGCAGGCGUUAAUCGGAAUUACUGGGCGUAAAGCGCGCGUAGGCGGCUAGAUCAGUCGGGUGUGAAAGCCCCGGGCUUAACCUGGGAACUGCAUCCGAUACUGUCUAGCUUGAGUACAGGAGAGGAGAGUGGAAUUCCAUAUGUAGCGGUGAAAUGCGUAGAUAUGUGGAGGAACACCAAUGGCGAAGGCAGCUCUCUGGCCUGAUACUGACGCUGAGGUGCGAAAGCGUGGGGAGCAAACAGGAUUAGAUACCCCGGUAGUC
rnacentral:rRNA from 1 species